CGGACGGGUGAGUAACGCGUGGGUGACCUGCCCCAUACCGGGGGAUAACAGCUGGAAACGGCUGCUAAUACCGCAUAAGCGCACAGAGCUGCAUGGCUCGGUGUGAAAAACUCCGGUGGUAUGGGAUGGGCCCGCGUCUGAUUAGGCAGUUGGCGGGGUAACGGCCCACCAAACCGACGAUCAGUAGCCGGCCUGAGAGGGCGACCGGCCACAUUGGGACUGAGACACAGCCCAA
rnacentral:rRNA from 1 species